AACGUAGGAGACAAACGUUAUCCGGAGUUACUGGGCGUAAAGGGCGUGUAGGUGGUUUCGUAAGUCUGGCGUGAAAUAUCUCGGCUUAACCGAGGCAGGUCGUCGGAUACUGCGGAACUAGAGGACGGUAGAGGCGUGUGGAAUUCCGGGUGUAGUGGUGAAAUGCGUAGAGAUCCGGAGGAACACCAGUGGCGAAGGCAGGUCUCUGGGCAUUAACUGACGCUGAGGAGCGAAAGCAUGGGGAGCGAACAGG
rnacentral:rRNA from 1 species